GUUCUGCUCCCUCCGUUCGGAAUUACUUGUCACAAAGAUGGAUGUAUCUACAACUAAAAUACAUCUAGAUACAAUAAUUUCUUGGACGAGUAAUUCCGAACGGAGGGAGUAGCAG
rfam:Triticum aestivum genome assembly, contig: Triticum_aestivum_CS42_TGACv1_scaffold_225014_3B